rnacentral:rRNA from 1 species
GAUGAACGCUAGCUACAGGCUUAACACAUGCAAGUCGAGGGGAAACGACAUCGAAAGCUGCUUUGGUGGGCGUCGACCGGCGCACGGGUGAGUAACGCGUAUCCAACCUGCCCACCACUUGGGGAUAACCUUGCGAAAGUAAGACUAAUACCCAAUGAUAUCCCACGAAGGCAUCCGAAUGGGAUUAAAGAUUUAUCGGUGAUGGAUGGGGAUGCGUCUGAUUAGCUUGUUGGCGGGGUAACGGCCCACCAAGGCAACGAUCAGUAGGGGUUCUGAGAGGAAGGUCCCCCACAUUGGAACUGAGACACGGUCCAAACUCCUACGGGAGGCAGCAGUGAGGAAUAUUGGUCAAUGGGCGAGAGCCUGAACCAGCCAAGUAGCGUGCAGGACGACGGCCCUAUGGGUUGUAAACUGCUUUUAUAAGGGAAUAAAGUGGGUCACGUGUGACUUUUUGCAUGUACCUUAUGAAUAAGGACCGGCUAAUUCCGUG